AUUCCAGCUCCAAUAGCGUAUAUUAAAGUUGUUGCAGUUAAAAAGCUCGUAGUUGGAUUUCGGAACCGGCCGAUUGGUCCGUCCUCUGGAUCGUGUACUGAUCGGUCUGUUCUUCUUCGCGAAGACCGCGUGUGCCCUUAACUGGGUGGGCGCGGGAUUCGCGACGUUUACUCUGAAAAAAUUAGAGUGUUCAAAGCAGGCAGUCGCUUGAAUAUCUCAGCAUGGAAUAAUAGAAUAGGACUUUGGUCUUAUUUUGUUGGUUUCCGAGACCGAAGUAAUGAUUAAUAGGGACAGUUGGGGGCAUUCGUAUUUCAUUGUCAGAGGUGAAAUUCUUGGAUUUAUGAAAGACGAACUUCUGCGAAAGCAUUUGCCAAGGAUGUUUUCAUUG
rnacentral:rRNA from 1 species